GGUGAACGCUGGCGGCGUGCUUAAGACAUGCAAGUCGAACGGCAGUCUUCGGACUGUAGUGGCGCACGGGUGAGUAACGCGUAACUGACCUACCCCAAAGUCGCGGAUAACGAUUCGAAAGAAUCGCUAAUACGUGAUGUGCUGUCAGAUUGUGUUCUGCCAGUAAAGAUUGAUUGCUUUGGGAUGGGGUUGCGUUCCAUCAGCUAGUUGGUGGGGUAAAGGCCCACCAAGGCGACGACGGAUAGCCGGCCUGAGAGGGUGGCCGGCCACAGGGGCACUGAGACACGGGUACCACUCCUACGGGAGGCAGCAGUUAGGAAUCUUCCACAAUGGGCGAAAGCCUGAUGGAGCGAUGCCGCGUGAGGGAUGAAGGUCUUCGGAUCGUAAACCUCUGAAUCAGGGACGAAAGACACUUCGGUGGGAUGACGGUACCUGAGUAAUAGCACCGGCUAACUCCGUGCCAGCCGCCGCAGUAACAC
rnacentral:rRNA from 1 species